UGGAAAGCAUAUAAAAGGAAAGAAUGAGGGUCACUCAGCUAGGGAAAUAUGUCAAGAAGAUUCCCAAAUAUAGCACAAAAAAAUGUUGACCUACCCCCUCCCCUCUCCCCUUCCCCCCCCCCGGACCCGGUGGCUUCAUUCCCAGUUGGACAGGACCUGCCUAGUCAACGGUGUCCCCAGAGAUGCUGACUGGGCUCCGGGGGCGCCCUAUGGGACGCGGGUGGGCCCCGCAGGCACUGCAGUCGGCUCCUGCGACAUCAGUUGACCUGAGAAAACAUGGUAAAUAGUAAUGCAGCUGAUUAAAUAGCAGCGAGGAAUUUUCUAGAAAGUACGAACAGUGGUUCCAUAAAAAUGCGGCGCAGACAAAAAAAAAACCAUGGCCAGUCCAUUCGGCACUCAAAUGAGCGGACCCCGCAGACUCGCCAUUUUUAGCAGUUGACUUUGUAGCAUUUGGUCAAAACAUGGGCGUCUGUCGACGGAGGAUCUCAGCACAGCCUUGUAGAACAGAGAGGAAAACGCCGGCGGAGGCAUCCAGAGAAAUGGAAUGCGUCGUCUGGAUUGAUCAAGGAAGGGGGCGCUCAUAGAGAUCUUCAAACAGCUCUGGGAAGAACCCUAGAAAACCUAUAAACCAACUAGAAAUCGGAUAAAAGGCGCCGCCAAGAACAGCCAAUGUAGAGCCAGAGUGUUGACUAUUUCGCGCCAAAAAAGAUACGCAUAUCACACAGUCUUCACCCAAGCCAAUGAGGGUUCUCCCAGGACAAAAAAUGUUAACAUGGGUUCAGAGUUCAUGGACUCUGUGGAACCCAGGUGGAGCGCGCAGCAAGCAAUGCGACGACCAAAGGUCAAACGAAGGCGCCAAUCUAAGAUGAACCGAAAUGGAAAUAUGAAAGGGCUAAUAAAAAAACAAGAAAAAAAGAAAGGGUUCCAAAGCAAAGCAUCCAAGACAGAAUUAAAUCCCAUUAGAACAUCUCUCCGUUUCGAUUCCAGACCACACCACCUUCCCAGAAACAGGAAUCAACCUAAUAUCAUCUUCCGUUUCCAUGGUGUCUAGUCAACUCUGACCAAAAUGGUUGCCAGGGAAGCAUUCACCGGCGUUGACCAGUCGAGUGGGAAAAAAAACUCACGUGGGGCAUUGAGAAUUUGUAGAAAAGGGCAUCGCAUCGAAACCCAGUUUGAUAUCACUAUGAGCAUACGGACAGCCAUAUUUUUGAUAGCCCGGAAACCAAUCAAUCAAAAGAUCUGUCACUAACCCUCCGAGUUCCUUUAAGAUCAUCGAAACAAAGCAUAUGAGGAACAACUCACUGGAGUAGGCCUUCAUAAUAAUAAUAAUAAUAAUAAUAAUAAAAGAUAGCCAGCACAGCACAUUGAUUUCAAAAACGUAUCGAUUACCCAGAACUGAGGCCUUCGUGCCCAGCAUAAUCAGCUAAAUGUGGCCUGCCUCCCUCGGAUUGCCGGCACUGAGGCACAGCCAACCGAGAUCCAUUAUGGCACUGAGGCAUCAAAAACACUUUGGUCUCCACAGCUGAAUCGCUGGUAAACGCUUCACAAUGGGAAAUCUCCUCCCAUAUGUGAAAUCACACGUACAGAAAAUCAUAAUGAUCUGGGCAUUCUGCUAAACAUGCAGAAUUGAUUCAGAAUCCAGGAUAUCCGGUUCCCCUCGCAGCUGGAAGAAAAGAUGAGACCAGGAGCCCAAAGGGCUCGAGGAGAAUAAGAGCAUCUACGCAAGGGGAGAGCUGUUCAGAGAUGCCUCCAUGGCCUUAUGGAUACGGCGUUGCCAGGGGCUGCCCUAUUUUCCAAGGCUAGGGAAGCAGGGGAUGCUCUGCAAGAGGAUCAAAGCGGGCAAGCACUAAAGAGGGAAAAAAAGGGCGGAAGAGGCUCAAUCUUCUUUAUUGUUUGAUAUAGUUUGGGGGGGGAUCUACGGCACGCCAUCGUGCAGCAGCACGAGGAGGACAGGAGCAAGGAGAUGAACGCUACGGAGAACAGCUGAGUGGAAGCAUGUACAAGAGAAGAGAGAGAGAGACGACAUGCACAUCGGAGGAAUGCGCCAAGAACCCCCAAGAGGAUGUCAUCACGCGUCGGAUGCUCAUACAAGGGUGAGGAAGUGAGGGAGAACCCAUGUUCAACUGACCUGCAUAUUCUUUGGCGGAGAUUCCACUCUGGCAGCCGCCCUCCAUCCACAGAGGAGGCGACAGUGAGUUGACCAGCGCCGGCGCCACCACCAGAGGCCGCCAUGACGGGGAGCAUCCGCCGUGGAGCCGCCAGCUCUCACUUCCCGCAGCAGCGCUGACCGGCAGGCUCUCGUCGUGACCGCCGUUUAGAGGAGCCCUCGGCACCAGCUCGCGCCGCUCCAACGUCAGCUUCCACCCCCUCCCCGUUGCCCCUCAGUCUCGGUUUCUCUCCGAAGCCUUUGUUCUGCUUUCGUCGGGAUGGAAGGCAAGAGGGGAGAGAGAGAGAGAGAGAGAGAGAGAGAGAGAGAGAGCAGUGGAACUGCAACAGGGUCCCCCCAACUUCCCCUCUUC
rnacentral:lncRNA from 1 species